CCUGCUGGGGGCCCACUCCCCACCUACUCCCCACCAAGCUGCCCAGGAGGGUGAAGUACACCUGAUGCCUCACACUGAAAGGGAAACUGAGGCUCAGAACGCAGGUCCAGGAGCAAGCAGCUCAGAGCCUGGCCACGUGCCCUCCUGUCCUGGCCCAACACUCGCCAUCAGGCCUCCACCUUCCCUUCUUUGAAGCAGGGCCACCACUGCUGCAGGUUCUGUGUCUUCUCGGGGCUGGAAGUGGGUGUCACUGAGGUGCAGAACCAGAAUCACCCACUUUCUGGAAAAGGAAGUGUAUACCCAGCCGGGUGACAAUCCAUCCUGCCUCGCGACUCUUGGGCAUGGGGCUGAAGUCUAUUUUCGUGCUCUCAGUUCCCUAUCUUUUUCUGCCUUAAAAAAAAAAAAAUCCCCCUCGGCGUUUCUGCAUGCCUAAGUUAAUUCAGAGUCAAGCCGCCCGGGAUCCAGGACGAGAGCCUUCUCUUUCAUAAAUCGCCUCCCUGCAGCAGCUCUGGAUCUACUUCCUCUGUCCUCGGAACACAAACUGACAAUGGAGAAUUUGGUCAAGCUUUGGCUUCCUCCUUCUUGGCUGCCUGGGGACCCCUCUCCCAGCCCAGGACACCAGGACACGGCCAUCUCUGGCCGAGUGAAUGUGUGUGAUAAUCUAAGACAUCUGGGGGACACUGCACAUCUCCCCGUACUUACACGCGCUCAUGGGGUCCCAUUUCUGGCUGGGAGGAGAGGUUCUGUGUUCCGUUGGCUCCUCCAGGGCCGCUUCAGGCCCCGGCUACCUGCCACCAUCAGCCCACCCAGACCUUCCCCAGGCCCCUUUCCCCGACUCCCACAGGCAGAGGUGGUUCAGCCAGCAAUGUGAGGCUCAGGAACAGUUUGGGGGGAAAGCUGCAAUGUUUACACAAGGGCCACUCUGUGCUCAUUUGUGGCUUGGUUUUAAUCUCCUGCUGAGUACGUGGCAGUGCAGUUAGCUACUUCUCACCCAAGAGCACUAUGUACAUGUGUGCACAGGACUGACUACCCACGACUGCAGGAGCUUUUAGACCCCAACCUGCAGCCUCCCAGUCUGUGUGUGGGACAGGCUGGGGAAUUUCUGAGCAGCAGGAAACGGGCUUCCCUUCAGACCUCAGCAGGCAGCCGCUCCAGACGAGGCGGUGCUCUCUGGCCUCCCAGGCACACACGGGCUGCCACUGAGCACCAAGCUCCGGGCACAACCAGCGGGGCAAAGGCCACCACCCAGCGACCUCGGGGCUGCCCUGCCACAGGCUGACCUGCCACGUGGACCCUCCCCUGUGCCUUUAGGGGCACUUCUGCCACACACAACACAGUCACGGCACAGCUGCUCCUGGGUGAUCACGGUAUCCGGGUGGCCACGUGCUCCGGACCCCGUGAGCCUGGAGAGCAUCAUCGUUACCACUGCACAGAUGACGUGGCAAGCAGCAGCCCCAGCAUGGGCCUGGGCCUGGAAGUGCACGCAGGGCGCUGGCCUGGUACGGGGAGAACAGGGCUCACACCCACCAGGGGGCUGGUUCCGGUCAGGGUGGCGGCUGGCAGUGGGGGAGGACGUGAGUCGGUGUCACGUGCACAGCACAUGUCUUGUUUCACUUUUUUGGUGGCCAGUGUCCCAUGAUGUCUGCGGGCACCCAGGCCGUCUGGAGCUGUGUGUGUCAAACUGCAGGUCAUGGAUUCAAAGGGGUGGGCUGGGACCAAGCAGCAUUAACAAAUUACAAAGAACGGAUCGAACCGCGUGAGGAGUGUCUGGUUACAAUAGGGGGCCAGGAGGAGGCAUGUCUGGGGUGGAGCCAGUGGCUGCUGCUCAAGACCCAAAGGCCCAGGAUGGAGGAGACGAGAUGGCAGGGGUCGAGCUUCCUGAGCAGUUGCCAUCAAUGCCCGGCCCACAUCAAAUCUGCCGAAUUUAUAGGGCACCAAUUUACCAGGAGAAGGAGCGGGAAGGAGCUGGCUGGUAACGGCACCGGUGGCAGAAAAGGGUGACCAGAUAGGGAAGGGAGCCUUCCCUGGCCACGGCCCCUCUCAUCUGUAGGCAGAAAGGAUGGGCGGAUCAGGGACAGCAGAUGAGAGGCCUCUGUGGGUGCCAGACUGUGUUGAGAAGGACUCAGGGAUGUGGCACAGGCAGUGAGAGUGCCAGCCUGAGUUCAGGGAGUCUUCAAGGGCUCCCCGGGGGUGCACUCGGUAGCUGUAUUUCUCUGGGCAAACAGAAGCCAGGCUUUGGCGGCUGUGCACCGGGCCCUCACCGCCACUGGGUAGCAGGGCACGGCACACGUGAGCCUGGGCCUCAGACUGGCCACUCUCCAGGUAGGGAGACCCGUGGGACCCCAGUCUCACAACAGGGAAGGAAUGGGGAAGACGCCGGCCGCCAAGGCACUGCACCCCCAAACCCGCAGUCCACCCUCAGGACACACAACGCUGCCCUCUCCUGGCCGGCGCGGGAAGGUCCGGCUCGCCGCCUACCAGCCACCUCCUGCCUGCAGCUGGACAAGCCCUGGCCUGGGUCGUCCGUGGACCCCUGUGUAAGGAGGCCCUGAGAGGGUCCCCAGAGCCUCCACCCCAGGCCCCCUGCCCCAUCGCCUGGUCAGGGAGGACGCAGCAGAGCCACCUCCCCGAUGGAUGCCCCAGAACCCCUGCCCCACUCGGGGAGGAGUCAGCUUCAGGAAGGCGGCGGCACCCUGCUUGGAUUUCGGCUUCACACGUUCUGAUGAAGCACUGGGGCUUUUGUGUUGGGAUAACAGCGUGAUUUAUUAUUUACCGAACGCAGUAGGCGCGCAGCGGAUCAAUUUCAAUAAAACAAUGGAUUAUAAAUGCCGCCAGGCAAUCUGGCAGUGGCAGUAAAUCAACAAAACAUGUUGUACUAAACGCUACAUAAUAAAUUGGCUAUAAUAAACUCAUAAUUA